UCAAGCUAAUAAGGGCGCAAGGAGGAUGCCUUGGCAUUGGAAGCCGAUGAAGGACGUAGCGAUCUACGAAAAGCCUCGGGGAGGCGAAAGCAGCCCGUGAUCCGGGGAUAUCCGAAUGGGGAAACCCGGCGGAGCAAUACUCCGUCAACUCUUUGUGAAUCAAAUAGCAAUUAGUGGGGAACCGCCUGAACUGAAACAUCUAAGUAGGGCGAGGAAAAGAAAUCAACCGAGAUUCCGCAAGUAGUGGCGAGCGAACGCGGAAGAGGCCAAACCGAGGGUAGUAAUACCUUCGGGGUUCGGACAGCGUAAGGCAUCGAUGAUCGAUAGCAGAAUGAAAUGGGAAGUUCAACCAUAGAACGUGAUAGUCGUGUAAGCGAAAUCGAAAGUCGGCUGGCUGUAUCCAGAGUACCGCCGGACACGUGAAACCCGGUGGGAAUACGGGGGGACCACCCUCCAAGCCUAAAUACUCUCCAAUGACCGAUAGUGUAAAGUACUGUGAAGGAAAGGUGAAAAGAACCCCUGGCGGGGAGUGAAAAAGAACCUGAAACCUUGUGCCUACAAGCACAUAGAGCACAUCAACGUGUGAUAUGGUACCUUUUGUAGAAUGGUCCGGCGAGUAAAUGUCACUGGCAAGGUUAAGGACUUCAGGUCCGGAGCCGAAGCGAAAGCGAGUCUUAACUGGGCGACAUAGUCAGUGGUAUUUGACCCGAAACCGAGUGACCUAGCCAUGAGCAGGCUGAAGUGGAGGUAAAACUCCAUGGAGGGCCGAACCCACUCCCGUUGAAAUGGUAGGGGAUGACUUGUGGCUAGCGGAGAAAUUCCAAUCGAACUCGGAGAUAGCUGGUUCUCUCCGAAAUAGCUUUAGGGCUAGCCUCAAUUAACAUUACCGAAGGUAAAGCACUGACUGAGCUAGGGGGCGAAAGCUUACUGAACUCUAUCAAACUAAGAAUGUCGGAUAAUGAAUGAUUGGGAGUCACACUGCGUGAGAUAAGUUUCGCGGUGGAAAGGGAAACAGCCCAGACCCACAGCUAAGGUCCCGAAGUAUGGUUAAGUGGAGAAGGAUGUGGAAUUGCGCAGACAACCAGGAUGUUGGCUCAGAAGCAGCCACUCAUUCAAAGAGUGCGUAAUAGCUCACUGGUCGAGUGAUCCUGCGCCGAAAAUUUAACGGGGCUAAACCAUACACCGAAGCUUGGGAAUAUACGUAAGUAUGUUGGUAGGAGAGCGUCGUAUACGGGGUGAAGUUACAGCGGAAGCGGUAGUGGACUGUAUACGAGUGAGAAUGCCGGAAUGAGUAGCGAGAAUUAUGUGAGAAUCAUAAUGGCCGAAAGACUGAGGUUUUAGAAGGAAGGUUCGUCCGCUUCUAGUUAGCCGGGAGCUAAGGCGAGGCCGAGAGGCGUAGUCGAUGCACAUACGGUUGAGAUUCCGUAGCCACCUUAAAUUUAAACUGAGGGACACAUCGAAAGGGCAUAACCCGGGCGUUGGUUGACCCGGGCGCAAGGGAACGAAGAUUAGUAGGGAAGUAUGCUUGGACGGUGGCGAGAAAAGCUCAGUGUAUAUAGCUAGGGUGCCCGUACUGCAAACCGACACAGGUAGUCAGGAAGAGAAUUCUAAGGCCAACGGGAGAAGGAUUGUUAAGGAACUCGGCAAAUUGGCCCCGUAACUUCGGAAUAAGGGGUGCUCACGAGAGUGAGCCGCAGUGAAUAGGUCCAGGCAACUGUUUAUCAAAAACACAGCUCUCUGCUAAAUCGUAAGAUGACGUAUAGGGGGUGACACCUGCCCGGUGCUGGAAGGUUAAGAGGAGGGGUGCAAGCUCCGAAUUGAAGCCCCAGUAAACGGCGGCCGUAACUAUAACGGUCCUAAGGUAGCGAAAUUCCUUGUCGGGUAAGUUCCGACCCGCACGAAUGGUGUAAUGAUCUGGACACUGUCUCAACAAUCCACCCGGCGAAAUUGUAGUACCGGUGAAGAUGCCGGUUACCCGCGGCAAGACGGAAAGACCCCAUGGAGCUUCACUGCAGCUUGAUAUUGGGUUUCGGUAUUCUAUUUACAGGAUAGGCGGGAGACAGAGAAACCAGCACGCCAGUGCUGGCGGAGUCGUCCUUGGGAUACCGCUAUUAGAGUAUUGGAAUUCUAACCUGCGGCCUUGAAUCAGGUCGGGGGACAUUGUCAGGUGGGCAGUUUGACUGGGGCGGUCGCCUCCAAAAGAGUAACGGAGGCGUUCAAAGGUUCACUCAGCAUGGACGGAAACCAUGCCCAAGAGUGCAAACGCAGAAGUGAGCCUAACUGCGAGACUGACGGGUCGAGCAGUAACGAAAGUUGGAGUUAGUGAUCCGGCGGUAUGUGAGUGGAAAUGCCGUCGCUCAACGGAUAAAAGCUACCCUGGGGAUAACAGGCUGAUCUCCCCCAAGAGUCCACAUCGACGGGGAGGUUUGGCACCUCGAUGUCGGCUCAUCACAUCCUGGGGCUGUAUUCGGUCCCAAGGGUUCGGCUGUUCGCCGAUUAAAGUGGUACGCGAGCUGGGUUCAGAACGUCGUGAGACAGUUCGGUCCCUAUCUGCCGUGGGCGUAGGAUAUUUGAGGAGCGCUGUUCCUAGUACGAGAGGACCGGAAUGGACGCACCGCUGGCGCAUCGGUUGUCAUGCCAAUGGCACGGCCGAGCAACUAUGUGCGGAUUGGAUAAACGCUGAAAGCAUCUAAGCGUGAAGCCAUCUCCAAGAUAAGAUAUCCCACUGUUUACAGUUAAGACCCCUCAAAGACUAUGAGGUUGAUAGGCUGCGUGUGUAAGUACAGCGAUGUAUUUAGCUUGGCAGUACUAAUAGGUCGAGGGCUUGACCUU
rnacentral:rRNA from 1 species